rnacentral:sRNA from 1 species
GCGAUUUGAAUGUCUUUCAAAUCGCGAUGUGUGUAAACAGGUGACGACUCCGGUGGUAUGUAUGUGAAUAUCAGAAUGGUGCUUAUGUCCGCCUAUAGACUGUUGUUGAUUUUUUAAUAUGAUAGCAAGUCACAUGCUAAAUUCACCCUAGAAAUAUAAGCGUCAAACUUUGUUUUAACAAAAGCAGCAAUUCCACCCAUAGCUCUACCACUUGUUUGCUGUUUUAAUGCUUCUACAUAAUAACAAGUAUAAUCAGGGAAUACUCCCAGGUAAUCAAUUGUAUUUGUUGACCAGGUUACAGAAUAUGUCGAAUGUAUUUAGAUACUGUUUCAUAUCCAGGUCAUUAAACAUAGUUUUGAUGCCUUCAAUAUUCCAUGAGACAAUACUCAAUAUAUCACUGUCUGGGCUUCGGCCGUAUCCGUAGUUCGGCUAUAUUUUCUAAGGUAU